UUGGUGGGUAAACCGUAAACACAU
rnacentral:siRNA from 1 species